CCUCGUGAAUUCUCGUUUUACUUUGAAAAUCCCGAAAGGAAACUAUGAUUUAACUACGGCUAACUCGACACACUGACCCUCUGGUCAAAACUCAACGACUGUCCUCGACAGGCCGUUCACCUCUGUUUCUCAACGAUGGAGCGGAAAGUUGCUCGGGAAUUUAGGCACAAGGUGGAGUUGCUCAUUGAAAAUGAAGCAGAGAAGGAUUACCUGUACGAUGUCCUCCGCAUGUAUCACCAGUCGAUGGAUUUGCCAGUGCUGGUGGGAGACCUGAAGCUGGUCAUCAACGAGCCAAAGCGCUUGCCGCUCUUUGACGCUAUCCGACCUCUCAUCCCCCUCAAACACCAAGUGGAGUACGACCUUCUCACGCCCAAGAGGUCACGGAAGCUCAAAGAGGUGCGUUUGGAUCGGACACAUCGUGAUGGACUGGGUCUCAGUGUCAGAGGAGGGCUGGAGUUUGGCAGCGGCCUCUACAUAUCACAGAUUGUCAAAGACGGUCAAGCCGGGAAUGUCGGCCUUCAGGUCGGAGAUGAGAUUGUGCGCAUCAAUGGAUACUCUAUUUCCUCCUGUAUCCAUGAGGAGGUCAUCAGUCUCAUCAAGACUAAGAAGAUUGUGUCUCUCAAAGUUCGGCAUGUGGGUAUGAUCCCAGUGAAAAGCUCAUCAGAUGAGCCACUGAAGUGGCAGUUUGUUGACCAGUACGUGUCAGAGUCAGGGGAGAAAAAAAGCAGCGUUGCAGGCUUGGCGUCCAUCGGAGGGAAGGAGAUCAAAGAGAAGAAGGUUUUCCUCAGUCUCGUGGGUACAAAGGGUAUGGGCAUCAGCAUCUCCAGUGGUCCCACCCAGAAACCCGGCAUCUACAUCAGUAACGUCAAGGCAGGCUCUCUGUCUGCAGAGGUUGGACUUAAGGUUGGAGACCAGAUUGUGGAGGUCAACGGGGUGGAUUUCACCAAUUUGGACCACAGAGAGGCUGUGAGAGUCUUGAAGAGCAGCAGGAGUCUGACUAUUACUGUUCUGACAGGAGCUGGCAGCGAGCUGUUCAUGACGGACGAAGAGCGUCUGGCCGUGGAGGCUCGCAGGGAGCUGGACAGGCAGGAGCUGAUGCACCAGAAAAAGGUGGCACUGGAGACCAACAAGAUCUUUAAAGAGCAGCAGGAGAUGGAGAGACAGAGAAAGACAGAGAUUUCUCAGAAAGCUGCAGAAGAAGAGGAGCGCUAUAAAAAGGAGAUGGAGAAGAUUGAGGCUGUGGAAAAGAAGCACAACAGAGAGUGGGAGGAGGACUGGGGCGCAAAAAACAGGCCCAAGAGCCCGAAGAGCCGAGGCGUCCCCAGGAGCCCAUCGCCCGCCCCGCCUGAAAUUAAAACUACCCCCACUCCAAAGGCUAAAAGCUCCCCUGAUGAAGGCCGCUACUUCACUCAGGAUGACGGGGAGGAAGAUGAGGGCAGACAACAUUUGGCUGGUUUUAUCGAUAUGAGGGGAAACUGCCGUCAAUCCGCAAGAAGGGAGAAAAGAAGAAGAAGAAGAAGAAAGUGUCAAACACGGACACACUUCAGGAGCAGAGAAAAAACAAGAAGGAGAUGGAGUUUGAGCUGAAACUGGCCAAGGAGAAAGAGGGGAUGCAUGAACGAGAGAAGCAACUGAAGAUCAAUAGGCUGGUUCAGGAGGUUUCAGAGACGGAGAGAGAAGACCUCGAGGAGUCUGAGAAAGUGCAGCACUGGGUGGAGCGUCUCUGUCAGACUCGGCUGGAGCAGAUCUCCUGUGUGGAGAACGAAUCCCCAGAGGUACAGAGUGAGACCUCUGUCGAACCCCCUCUCUUUUUUUCUUUCCAUGUAACUUCAUACUAAAUAAGUCAUAGCUCAUAUCUCAUUUGUUUUAGCCACCAAUGUUGCAGGGAAGGAGAGUUCAGUAGUUCUUAAAGGCUUCUCUCCUCUGCACUGGAAUGUCCCCAAUUUUUUUUUAAAGUGUGCACCACCACAUGUGAUGUUGCCUCUCCUGUCACUUUGAAUGUUAGAUCACAUGAGUUACCUGACUCAAGAAACAGUGGGAGUGUUCCUCCAGUCAUACAACAUUAAAUAAGCGACGUCAGUAGGAAAGGGAAGGGGGGGAAACAGUAAUGUAAAAAUAUGAAUUGUCAAGCAUGAAUAGUUAUUCACGAGUUGAAACAUUUUUCAUGUCACUGCGACUUUAAGCUCUCGCCGCCGCUUUCACCCGCCUCCGAGCCCAAGGUGAGGCGCUUCCCAGGUGG